UUCCUCUGCUCUGGCUUGCCGGCUUGCCUGCCCACAGACUGCUACUUGCUAUAUCCAGUAUGUGCACAUUGCUGUCAACGGGAGAAAUGCUGUAGGACCUUGAACUAGUGGGGAAGGGGUCCUGGGCUAGUUCAGCAUCCAAGUCUACUCUAGUACUAUCACCAAGGGCUUUUCCCAGCAUGCAGUCCCUUUAGAUUUGGGUGUGACAACUAACCACAUCCUGCGUGUUGGACGUUUGGUUUGCAUCCCUGUAUCUUCCUGCUUUUGUGAAAGAUACAAUCUUACAUUGUCCUGGACAAAGGAAAAUUUGAUCACUGCCAGACUUUUCAUCUCUUCAUUGUGAUGGAAAAAUGGUUGCCUAAAAUAAACCCUUUGUUAUGCUGCUAAAACUGCUUUUG
rnacentral:lncRNA from 1 species